CAGCAGCCGCGGUAAUACGUAGGUGGCAAGCGUUGUCCGGAAUUAUUGGGCGUAAAGGGCUCGCAGGCGGUUUCUUAAGUCUGAUGUGAAAGCCCCCGGCUCAACCGGGGAGGGUCAUUGGAAACUGGGAAACUUGAGUGCAGAAGAGGAGAGUGGAAUUCCACGUGUAGCGGUGAAAUGCGUAGAGAUGUGGAAGAACACCAGUGGCGAAGGCGACUCUCUGGUCUGUAACUGACGCUGAGGAGCGAAAGCGUGGGGAGCGAACAGGAUUAGAUACCCGAGUAGUCCCUGUCUCUUAUAC
rnacentral:rRNA from 1 species